rnacentral:lncRNA from 1 species
AUGCCACAAAAAGGGUGGAGGUGGUGGGUGCUGUGUUGUGAUCAAGAGAAAACAGAGGGUGCUGUGUGGGGUUACUUUCUUGAGCUAACCCUAUUUUUGGAAGCAAAUGAGUGGACUGUUGAUAUGGGGCCAGGGGGCUGUAAAGCUGGGGAGAGAAGGAGUGUGGCCUUAGGAGGCUGUGGUGGGGGUUUUAAGGGCUUUCCUCAGGGUUGGUUCAUCCUGUGGGAGAAAGAUUUGAGAAGAUACAACCAGGUGUGCUGGAAAGUUGUUUGUCCUGAACAAGGGAAACAAAUGAAAAGAGCUGAAGAAAGACGUCAUCCAUGAAAGAUGUCAUUGAUGCCAAAUCUUCAAGAUGGGAAGGUACAGCUAGCUGUAUUCAUUACCUGUUCAACUGUGUUUGUUAAGAUGCGAUGCAUUUAUCACCAUGACAAGGUGUUGUACUAGCUGAAAGAGAUCUCCGAGGUGAGUGAAUUUAAAGAACUUCUGUUUUAGCAGCCUUUUGUUGUGUAGGUGUUGUCUUGAAUCUUGAGAAAUUAUUUGCAAUCUUGCAUUCUCAACUUGUGUUUUCCAAUGUGUUUAAGCUAAUGUGAAUUUUCAUAAAGUUAUGAAACCUGUUUACUAAGUGUCUUUGUGCUCUAGCUCUUCAGGGUGUCUGGAAUUGAGUUCUAGGUAGCAGGAGGGCUUUUCUG